rnacentral:ncRNA from 2 species
UGCUUGAUGCCGGAAGAGUCUGUGGUGCAGCUAACGCAGCACCCGGCGCCGAAGGAGCAACCACCCCGGAAACUCUCAGGCAAAAGGACCGGCAUCACUAU